CUUCUGUGGCACUGAAAUGGAUCAGUGCAAAGAGCAUUGGUGGGAUGAUGGAUGCAGACAGUGGAGUCCUCAGUACUGAAGCAGCAACACUAAAGUCUCACCACUGGGGGAAACUGAAACAUUUUAUGGUUGGAACCGGAUGAUUUUUUUAAUGGAGUUUUUUUAAAAAGCCAAAAAAAUUCUCUGAUUUAAAAUAAUACUCUAAAAAUCAUAAGAAACAGGAAAUAAUUAAAGGUAUAAGCUUUAUUUUGUUUGACAUAAGAAGCAGCUUCAACAAAUGGUCAGUGUGGACAAGUAUUUAAAGACUCUAACCUUCCUGUAAGGUUCUCUUUUUUAAAAUCCACACUGCUGUGGUGGAUAUCAGUUUUCCAUGGUUCUCUUUGGUCAGUGACCCUCAAAGAUCCAUCUUCUCUUUUCAGUGACCUGAACAUGACUAAAAGUCCUCUGACAUCCUCAGGGAGUGAAGGACUUUACCGGUGUCGCCUACAUUCAGGACUGAACCAGAGUUUUGAUUCAAAAUGAUCAUUGGAGCUGUUUUACUGAGAUACCUUUCUGCUGUUCUCUCCAAGUACAAGAAAGAAAUCCAACUAUUAUAGAAUACCAGCUUCCUUCCUGUUCACAGCACUAAUAUGCAGAUGAGCCAAAUGAAAAUAAACAGAAAACCUGCAGGAUUUCAAACAUGUGUCUGUGAAAGAAUGUUCCAGCAUUGUGCCGUGAUAUAAUUCCACCUGUGCAACAAGUCCAGUCAUGAAAUUUCCCCACUACUAAAUAUUCCACAGUCAGCUGUUUGUGGAAUUAUAACAAACUGCAAGUGAUUGGAAACAACAGCAACUCAGCCAUGAAGUGGUAGGAAAUGUAAAAUCAUCAUAUCAGGAAAAUUCAGACAAUGGGAACAGUUUGGGGAUGGCCUCUUCCUGUUCCAAUAUAACUGCACACCGGUGCACAAAGCAAGGUUCAAAAAGACAUGGAUGAGUGGGUUUGCUGUGGAAGUAGAAAAUGGAAUUAGACUUCUCAUCCAAGAUCAGAGUCUGACUUCACAAACUCCCAUAAACACUCCUAAACCUUGUGAAAAGUUUCCCCGGAGGAGUUAAAGCUGUUCUGCAAACAGUGGGCUGACAUCACAACAAACCUUGAGGAUUAAGAAUGGGAUUUCACUCAAAUUGAUGUGCGUAUGUGAAGGCAGAAGAGUGAAUACUUUUGGCCAUAUAGUGUAUUUUUGCAGAUAAUUUCCACAGGAGAGUCCAUCGGAGAGAGAGUGAGCUUUUACUUGGACAUGGUGAGGAGGCAUCUUUGAGGAGGGCCACUGGGAGGGUGGGCAUGCCAGUGGAAGCUGCAGGGGAGUAUUCUGAUGACUGAUUCUAAAGGAAAGUGAGUCUGAGGACAGAUGAUGAUGAUGAUGAUGAUGAUGAGGCAGCUGAGCAGCAGGAGCAGGAACAUUAGAAGCUGCUGGAGUAACUGCUGCUGUUCUCCUGCCUGUCAUAUUCUUCUCUGUCUUCCUGUGGAUUCAAAAAAAGAGGAUGUCCAAGGAACCUGUUAAAUCUGAAGACAGCCAACAACAGAGAACAGUGUUUACCUGAUCAGAGACAGCCAGAGGAGCAGGAUGAUCUUCAGUAUACCAGCAUCCACUUCUCCAAUAACCAGGCAGAUCCUCUCUACUCCAACAUCAGAGCAGCUCAGCCUCACAGACACAUGCAGGAACAGGAAGUUACUGAGUACACUGCUGUUAGAUUUAACAGAGGCAGUGCAGCCAAGAGAGAUAGAAGUCAGGAAACAGGAGAGUCUCCAUGUGCACUGUACUCCACAGUCAACAAAACCAGAUGAAGAGACGGGUUGAUGAUGAUGAUGUGAUAUUUAUGUAGAUUUUAAAAAAAGAUUCGGCUCAAUUGUAGCUAAAUUU